UUGGUGUUCCAGAGGACAGGUGAUUAACUGUGUGGUCAUGUAUUAGUUGUUCUUUUCCACUAUUUUCUGCAUUCACCUGAUCAUGGAGUCCCUUGCUGUCAGUACAUCAGAGAACCUGUAGGAGUCUGUGCAUAUUAGUAAUAAGUUCCUGUUGUUUUCUGUGACAUGGGAUCAACAAGACGUACUCCAUAGAAAUCAGAGACUUGUCAUAUUGUGUCCAGAGGAACCUCUUGCAAGUGUGCAUUCAGUUUGCCAGUUCGUUUAUCCUUUUUUCCAAGUAAAAAAAAUAACGCUGAUGAACAAUUGUAACAGGUUACUUACAGCAUUACAAUAGAGCGAUCGAUGACGCUAUGUACAUGUACAUGCGUACUUGUACAGCGAGUCCUUUACCUAUUCAAAAUAAUAUCCUUUGUAUAUUAAGUCCAACUUCCAUUCAGCACUUUGGAAAAAGGACCUAUAAUAUUUAUGAAACAUUAAUUUAUCCCAUUUUGUCAUAAUUGUUUGUGUGCAUCAACUUUGUUUUCAG